GUUUGUACACAUCCUAAACUGCUGCUGCAUGGUCUGGUGUGAGUCCUGAGACUGGAAGAGCCAGCUGCAUAAAAGACACUUUAUAGGCCUUUGCUGUACAGGACCACACUUCACAUGUGACAGACUCAGAAAAGGCAAGUGUUGGAGCUCUGGAUGUGCUGUAACUGCAGGGAGAUUGUGCCUUCUUACAACUGGCUCAGCUACUGAGCUGAAACAUAUGGAUCCAAACCUUGCUCUGCAGCAGCUUCCAGGAGUGUUCAUCACUAAGACAGCACAACUGCAGGGCAAAAAGGCAAACCCAAAACUGAUCACUGCUACAGAGCCAUAAAGACAAGGAAGGAAGAUGUGAUAUGGGGACCUGUAGCAGGGAGGAAACUGCAGAAUUUAGGCAAGAGCAGUGCCCAGAGGAGAUGCAGAGGAAAGCAAUUUUGGUCCAAAUAGCAAACUUUGGAGUAUUUAUGGUUCUGAGUUGGGAGCUGAACGUUAUAAACACACCCCAUGGAAGGCGUCAGAGACUUAAGGCUCUGCUAAGAGCAGCCAACCUCUCCUGUGGGAUCCAGUUUGAUUCUUCAGGUGCAGCUUAUGAGGGCUGCAGGAGGUGUCUCCUACAGCACAAGAAAAGAACAAGACAAAGAACAUUGCAUUUUGCUAUGGCAGUGCACCUGCUUUAGCUAUUAUUGGUUUAAGCCAGGUCACACUAAACUUGGUACACAGCAGGCUUUGCACAAGUGCACACAAAAUCAAUUUGCUGAAACCUGGACAACUUUGUAAGACAUCCAGACAAACAAAACUCAGACACACAAAAUUAAUAGUUAGUAACUGCUUCAGCAGUCUUAGGCCUUUUGAAAAUGUAGUAUUACUUGCAGAUGAAAUCUCUAGUGCUUCUAGUCUAUCUUCAAUACAAAACAGGAUGAAGACAUAUUUUGGAAAUAAUUUUCAAAGUGAGAUGCUAGUCUUUCAGCCUUCACUGACCUGAAAUUUUUUAUUUACUAAAAAAUUGUCCUUCCUUUUUAACUUUUUAAUGUGGUACCAGUCAUGAUGAUUCUUAUGAAACAAACGAACCUUCUCCAUCUGUAUCUACUCUGUAGAGUCCGAAUGGGACCUCAACAGUGGCUGAAACAAAAUCUCAUUUAAAAAAAAUAUUCCCAUGGAAAAGUUCCAAUUUUGAUGCAAUAUUUCCUGCAAGAAAGCAAAAACCAAACCUAUCAUUCAAAGGUUUGACCCAAUGUCUGCUCUUCAAGAGGGAGAAGGGUAGUGGAGAGGAAGCAAGUGAGUGUGGGUUUGGGAGAAAAGAAAUCCUACCAAUAAAUGGGGGUAAUGAAAGCAGAGGGAAGAAAGUACAAAUUCCCAGGCAUUCCAGACAUAUCUGGUAUCCUUUACAUCCUGCACUCUGCACUUCAGUUGUACAUAUUUCAGUGUUCCACUGCAGAGGCAGCUGCAUUUCAGUUGGGAGUUCCUGUAUGAAGAGUUUUGUAUAGUUGUUACAGGAUCUUAUGAGAUGAAAAGGAGCUGACCACGGCAAAGAAAGUAAAAUAGAACAUGCAAUCUUUUAACUAUGCUAGAAACCACUUAUGCCACAGAGAAACGGGAGCCAGGAAGCAAAAACUUCCAGAAGAAAUUAGAAAUAAAAGGGAAAAACCAGAAAAAAUCACUGGUAGCUGGGAAAAGACUGCAGGCUCAUUACCACAUCCGAGAUGUUGAAAAACAGCCUCUGGUUUUCUGUAGCUCUUCAUCUGUUUUUCUGUUCAUUUUUGUCCUUCUCUUUAACCUUGCUGGGUAAAACACAUCUCCAAGGACAAAUAAAAAUUAUUUUCUUGCCAGUGCUGCUGACUUUGCAACCUGUCAGAAAACUGACUAAACUUGAAGCUCCUUCAGUCAGUCACUUUAAAAUAUAGUCAGCAUUGUGUUUAAAGAAAAAAAUGAACUGUAUGAAUUCAACACCAGGGUUACUCUGCUGUAUGUUACAGUAUUCUCCCAUGCUCUGGGAGAAAUGGCACAACGAGCUGAUGAGUGGUGUUACAAAGGAAGUGCUGCAAAAUAUUAGCCUUGGCUCUUGCAGUGUAGUGAAGAUGCUUUAUUUGUUUCAAUUAAACAGGUAUUUUAUUAAAGAAUUCUUAGAUCCAAAAAAUUGGCCAGGGAACCAGAAAAGAAGACCAUUUAGAACCCAGGCUCAGGAAAUGUGAAUUAAUUUUGCUAGGGUCACAUUUAACCUUGCCAAGGAAAAAUGGCUGAAUUGUAACAUUGGAGGGGUUGUAAUCUGCAGUGGGUGCUUCUGUCAUCAAUUACAUUAAUCUUUCCUGGAAGCAUUUACUCCUUUUACCUGCACCAUAGGUGGGUGGGAACUAUAAUUUCUUUUAGGAACUUUUCUGCCUCAGCUUCCUCACUGCUCCUCAUAGUUACAUUUAGAGCCCAAACAGUCUGGAGGGAUUUAUGGAUGGCAGCUCCACCUACCAUCCACUGUCUCUGGCAAACGCUGAUUUCAGACUGUGGUGAGGACAAAACAGGGGUAACUUUUCAAAAUCAGCUUAAUCUUGCUCAGGGUCACAACAAAAAAAGUGAAAUUAUGACUGGUCCAUUAUCCAUGGUCUGCACUGUGUGCCUGCCUGGCCCACACAAUUCAUCCCUUCUGAUAUUCUAACAAGUGGCAGAUUUUGGCUCAUGAGCCAAGUGCAGAGGUGCAUUAAAUGUGAGGUUGAGUGCCUUUUUUAGGCUGUAUAUGUGUGUGGGGGGGUGUCUUUGUGAAGUAGCUGGUUCAGAUCCCUGGGCAAGAAUAAUUGAAGGAAAAACAUGGAGAGAGUCAGCUAUAGGAACAAGGUGAACUCUAGAGCAAGAGAUGUAAUUUUUCAAUCAAGCUUUUAAUGAAAAGAUCAUAAAAUAACAGUUUCUCAUCACUGUACAUUAAGACUGCAAAUUUCUGAAUGCUGAGAUCAUAUUAUAAUUUCUGUAUCUUUUUAUAUGACACUUGAGUUGAAGCCACAACUAUUGUGGCUCUGACCUGAAUUCAAGCUCUUGAAGGAAAUGAACAGAACAUUGCAGCAGGAAUGUUGGCCUUUCCCUUGACCUUCCCUCCUUUCCCCCUCCCCAGGAAACAUCCAGGGCUUCCAGACUGACUGAUAAUUAAGGCUUAAAAUGAAAAAAACCCAACCAAACAAAAAACAGAAACCAAAAGGGGUGAUGCAACAUCCCUUUUCCAGUUGUAUCGAAAAUAUUAAAAUAAAAUGGGGGAAAAUAUCCAGCCAGCCAGAACAAGAUCCUCUCCUCAUAGAAAAGUUAUCCCCAGCCAGUCAAAAGUCCUGUGGAAGGUCAGAGGAACAGCUGUACUGAGAGUGCUUCGAUUGGUAACUUGUGACAGAGGAAGCCUAAACCAGUCCCACUCCUCAGGGAAAGCAGCGCUAGGAAGCGGGUCCCUAAUGCCAACAAAUGCCACAUCCAGUGUGGUGGCUCAGACCUGCCCCACCACAUGGCACAGCUCUGUUCCAAAAACACUGAUCCCCUGAUCCCUGUGUCCAACACUGGCCUUCAAAAUGCUCAGGAAAAUUAGGGAAGGGAGGAAAGGAGAUGGUGGCAAUAGGAGACAAUGGAACAAAAAAGCAUUUCUCUCUCUAAACUUAUGUUUCAGGAUCUUUGAGUUGUUAGUUAAAACAAGGAAAGCAGAAUAAACAGCAGUUUUGAUGUGGCAGAAAGAUGAACUAGGGAUGAAAGAAAGGAGUCUCCCUGACUUGGAGGACCAGCUAGGAACCUUACAGCAGAGCUGGAACUGCCUCACAUGGGUUCCCAAAUAUUUUCCUUUUGCAAGGAAAGCAGCAUAUUUAGUGAGUCUAACAGGAAAUAAUCAAAGGUGAAAUUUCUUACCCUAUUCUGAAAAAAUGCAAAAUAUGAGGAGGGGAAAGGGGCUGAGAAAGAGCUUUUCCUUUUGCCUGCUUGUCUCCUGCACUAAAAUCAGGAUCAUAAAGUACCAUGGGACUUAAAACAUUGCAAAAGGCUACUUUCAGCUAUUGAAAGCAACCCCUAAAUUUUCUUUUUCAAGAAUAUGGCCAGUUCUGGAGUGCAAGAAUAAGCUUAUAAGAAUAAAGGAUUUUACAGUAAAUGGAGACUUUACUGAUGUUCAGCAAAUAAUUAUUUAAACAAAAACUAAGGAAAAAAUGCCGUAAGUCUCUUUAAUUAUUCCAGACUUACAGCUCUGGGUUCAUUUAGAUUUUAAACUCUUGCUUAAACAAAUGUUUAUCCAAACGUGCCAUCUCAAUGAUGAGCAUUUCUGCAGUCUGGGGACAGCUCAAUGUUUGUUACCUAGAGCUUCUUAAACCCAAUUAAAACGUAGGGAGGUUUUGUUUCUUUGUUUUUUAUUUGCUUUUCCCUUAACUCCAGUACUGCUGAUUGGAAAGGUUUCAGAAUUUGGCAAAUAUCCAGAAAUCAGCAAACAUCCUUUCUUCGUGCUAAUUGGUAAGGCUGUAGUAGGUGCUGACUCCACCAGCACUGGAACAAGAGGCUUUGGAAAGCACAGCUUCUCCCAGGGGCUCGAGCCCCCUGUGCUGUGGCCAAGCUGCUGCUUCAGUAUGGUCUGCAAGGCCCACCGUGAGCUGGCACAGAGGC